CAGAGGGAAGUGUGAAUGGUUGUUACCAUGAUGCAGAGAAGAUGCCUCAGCCUUUUGCUUACUGGAGAGAAAUGAUUUUGGCGUGAUUUUGGGAGCCACUGAUGGAUGGCAAGCUGAUCGUGCUUUUCUGGGAUGUUCCUUAUGUUUAUUGCUGGCUGUGAAAACGAGGACUGAAUGUUUCUGUAUGGCAUUACAUUUUUGCUGCAUGUUAUACUUAGUCUGGUGUCAGUAAUUUUAAGAAGGUGAUCUGUUCCCAUGUACUGAGAACAAAUAUGCAAAACCUUGUGAUUUCUUUUUAAAGCUUUGGUUUAUCAAGGAACAUAAGUUCAUGCCUAAUUUAAAACAUAUCAGCUGUUCUGUGACUGCCAUUCUCAUCGUAUUUUUGAUGUCCAGCAUAUACUUAAUCCUUUGUGAGCCCUUCAGCAGUUUCAGCUGGUUAGGGACAAGAUUGUGCCAAAACAAAUUACUCCUUUCCCGGUGGCAGAGGACAGGUUUGGUACCAUUUCACAUGGGAAAGCCGGAAAAAGGAAGAGAUUAACGCCUCUUAGACAGGUCACAGAUUCACUUGGCCCGGGAGGAUGAACCACAGGGGCCUUCUUGGGAUCGUGCCAGCAGCUGUGAGAGUUACAGCUAUGCACCUUCUCAUGCAGACCGUUUGUAACCUGGGGAUUCGCACACCGUAACGAAGGCCCUGCUUUGCCCAGCAUAGUGUGACACCUGCAGCACUUGAGCUGCGUGUGCUGCGGAGGGAUGGCUCCCGACAGCUCCGCUCCGCUGGCUCUGCAGAACGACUUCUCUGAAGCGUGUGAAAGCUGCGGCUCGCUGCGCUGGAGCAGAUGGCAGUGCUUCUGAGGUGACCGGUUUCUGGAGGAGGUGGUGGUGGGAAACCAAACCAUUAAACAGAGCCGCAGCAAACUGC